UACUUCAUCCUCUCCAUUUACAUAGGGCA
rnacentral:piRNA from 1 species